rnacentral:rRNA from 1 species
AGCGUAGGAGACAAACGUUAUCCGGAGUUACUGGGCGUAAAGGGCGUGUAGGUGGUUUUGUAAGUCUGGCGUGAAAUUUUUCGGCUUAACCGGGAAAGGUCGUCGGAUACUGCAAGGCUAGAGGACGGUAGAGGCGUGUGGAAUUCCGGGUGUAGUGGUGAAAUGCGUAGAGAUCCGGAGGAACACCAGUGGCGAAGGCGACACGCUGGGCCGUACCUGACACUGAUGCGCGACAGCAUGGGGAGCAAACAGG